rnacentral:misc_RNA from 1 species
AAGUCGUAACAAGGUUUCCGUAGGUGAACCUGCGGAAGGAUCAUUAUUGAAUACUCUUGAUGGGUUGUAGCUGGCUCUUCGGGGCAUGUGCACGCCUGUCUUGACUUUAUUCAUCCACCUGUGCACCUUUUGUAGUCUUGGAGGUUGAGAGCAGUCGACUAUCGGAUACUUUCCGGAUGUGACGAAUUGCUGAGUGCGAAAGCAUACAGCUCUUCUCAAAUGACUUGCAACACCUUCUCCUUCAAGUACUAUGUAUUCAUAUACCACAUAGUAUGUUGUAGAAUGUGAUCAAUGGGCUUAUAUGCCUAUAAUAAUCAUAUACAACUUUCAGCAACGGAUCUCUUGGCUCUC